rnacentral:lncRNA from 1 species
UAAUUGGACUUUUACAACUUGACUGUUUUGAGCAAACGCUGUACAUUAUAUACACACCAGUCUUUUGCUUUGUCCUUAGUACAUUUUUAACUUGGACAAAAAUUAUUCUAGUUAAGCCAUAAGUGUCAAUGUGUAAAUUGUUUUAAUUAAAGUUUUUUCUACCAAACUCUAUUAGUAAGUUAUUAUUACUAAAGGAAUUCUGGAUUUCCUGCUAAGGAAGUAGUAGUGUUCUCCUUAGCUGUCACUGAGACCCUGCUAGGAGAUGCAGGAGCUAUGCAGUAGGAAGCUCAGGAGAGAACUGCCACUUGCCUUGUGUUGACUUCCCUUUCUUCCUAGCCACAGGUGUUAAGUUAUAGAACAUCCAACUUCAGAACAUUAAUGGCACUCCUAAGUUAUGGGAUGCUGCCUUGCUCUGACCAUGUAUGUUCAUUUUGAAGCACAGCUGCUUUUUUUAAUUUGGAAUACUCUGUCUAUAAGGCUAAUUCACAGACAAGCUAUCACUCUCAAAACUCUGAUAACAACAAUGGCUGACCUAAGAGAUCUAGUGAAUGAUAGCCACCUCUCCCACUGUGAAUAGAGUAUGCAUGUAUAAUGUGCAUGUAUGGAUACCUACUUUGAUUUCUCAGCUGCUUGGAUCAACUUCAGAUAUCCCCCUAAUGAGAAAAUCUGGUUGUAAGCUUGUAUGUAUAAACAAUUCGGCCAGAGCUCAUCUGACCACAUUUGCUAUUCUAGUUAGGAAGUUACCAAGGCUGUGAUGUGAUACACUAAAAAUGUUCCUACUCAUAUCAACUUACCUGAGUAGAGAUGCCAGGUAAAGGCAAGUCCGCCAUCCUGUAUGCAGAACGACGGCGUCAAUGAAUGAGUUUUAUUCCAUUGCUCAGAGAAUAUGCAAAUAGCUAAAUUGUAGCUUGAGACCCUUAAGAAAUGAGAGUUACUAAAAAAUGUGCUUAAAUUUGUGCCACGUAAUUCUCCAACAGAUACUAGAGGUGACUGCCCCGUGCUGUAAAACUGCCAAGUAUAAUCAUUCUUAAAGAAUUGUGAAGCAUAAGCAAGACACUUGAGGAAAUAGCUAUUUUCCAUGCAGGUGUAUCCACAGGGAUGUUCACUGACAAAGUUGUUCCAUUCAUAUUUACCUAUGUCCUUAAAGUGACACAUGAUGUUAUAUUUAAGAGAUUGAUAUUGGCAUAAAAUCGGGGACUUUAUAGCUUGUAAACUUUAUAAAGUUGAAAUACUUUUGAUGUGAACUAGUGAGUAAAUAUAAGUGAUAAUUGCAGUAACUUGGCUAGCCUUUCUUCAUUUUCACCAUCAAAGAAAUGGAAGGUAUGUGAACUUUUGGUGAAAAAGAAGUAGAAUAGCAUUCUCAAUAAAUAAAUAAGGAUUCCAU